rnacentral:lncRNA from 1 species
UACUUAAUUGGAGAUAAUUUUGUAAUUUCCUUUGUAAAUCUUAAAAUAAUAGAUCUCUCCCUAUCUCUGUUUCUGUGUCUCUCAUUUCUCUGUUUGUCUCUCAUUUCUCUCUCUCUCUCUGUCUCAGUUUCUCUAUCCCUCUGCCCCGUCCUCCAUCUCCCUCUCCCCCUUUCUUUCUCUCUCUGUCUCUCUCCUCUGCUCUCUGUCUCUUUCUCUCUCCCCUUCUUCCUCUUCCCCCUUUCUCUUUCUCUCUCUGUCUGUCUCUCUCCUCUGCUCUCUGUCUCUUUCUCUCUCCCCCUUCUUCCUCUUCCCCCUUUCUCUUUCUCUCUCUCUUUCUCUGUGUCUUUUACUCUCUGUCUGUCUCUCUCCUUUGCUCUCUGUCUUUCUCUCUCCCCUCCUCCCUCUCCUUCUCCCUUUCUUUCCUCUCUCUUUUUUCUUUUUCUCUCUCUGUCUCUGUUUCUCCCACCCCUUCUUCCUCCCUCUCUCUUUCUCUGUCUCUGUCUCUCACAAACACGCACACACACUCACACACACACUCACAUAGAUGUGUGCUAUACUAGCUAUUCAGGUCCUGCCCUUACCUCUUACUAGUUGUGUGAUUGAACAUUACAUACGUGGAAGCUAUUAUUUUUCCUAGCCCAGCUUUGAUUUCCCCAGCUGCAAGUCUGGAGCUGGUUUCACACUGGACCUGCUUCAGCAGCAUAGCUCCCUCCUUGUUACCCAGAGAGGAUGCCCAGUUCCACGUUUGCCUUUGGACAAGAGAGCAAGCGCUGCCUUUUUAAAGCAAGCCUUCAGGAUAUUUCAUAUAUCCCUGCUCUUAUUUUAGUCAGAGAACUUAAUCUUCCUGAAAACACAUUCCUUGUCUCAAGAGUGUCCUUGAGCUAAUAAGGCAGAGGUUCCAGCUCCAGUGGGGCCUUCCCCUUAGUCUUUGAAGAGAAUGAAUUCACUAAUCAAUACAAAUUACAAUUUCUCUCCUGGUUUCAGUGGGCCCCACUCUUUGCCUUUAUUAUCUACAGCCAGAAUCCACAAAGCUCCAGAAAGAGAAGAAAUAGUCAUAUAGGAGAUAUGCAGGUAAGUCAAACAAAACAAGAAAUUGUUUUAGAGGAAUAUUUAUAGAAGUAAGAAAAUAAUUUGCAUUUGUUACAGCUUACCCUGGGCUAAACAGUUUUACAGAGAUGCAUCAAACCUAAUGCUUUAGGGUACACGAUAAUCACUUGGAAUAAUAGCCAAGGAGAAGCUUUUUUCUACUUAGAUGUGGUGAAAGUAUGGGUGAAGGUCCUUGCAGAGUGGCAAGAGUUCUUGUUUUCUCUUUCUGGUUAGAUGAUUUUCUGUGAAACUCUGGGGGAGCCUCUUUCCUUCAACUGAUAUUUAUAUCCUCAUUUGCAAACAGAGAGGUGGUACUAGAUGACCUAAAAAGUGACCAGUUUCCAAAAUUUCAUGAGUAUGAAGCAUCCCAGACUGGCAGAGGUUUUUAUUCUUAAUUCAUUUAUUCAU